UACGUAGGGCGCAAGCGUUAUCCGGAAUUAUUGGGCGUAAAGAGCUCGUAGGCGGUUUGUCGCGUCUGCCGUGAAAGUCCGGGGCUCAACUCCGGAUCUGCGGUGGGUACGGGCAGACUAGAGUGAUGUAGGGGAGACUGGAAUUCCUGGUGUAGCGGUGAAAUGCGUACGAUAUCAGGAGGAACACCGAUGGCGAAGGCAGGUCUCUGGGCUG
rnacentral:rRNA from 1 species